rnacentral:rRNA from 1 species
GGAAUUACUGGGCGUAAAGCGUGCGUAGACGGUUAUGUAAGUCGGGUGUGAAAGCCCCGGGCUCAACCUGGGAAUGCCAUUCGAGACUGCAUAGCUAGGGUGCGGAAGAGGGAAGCGGAAUUUCCGGUGUAGCGGUGAAAUGCGUAGAUAUCGGAAGGAACACCAGUGGCGAAAGCGGCUUCCUGGUCCAGCACCGACGUUCAGGCACGAAAGCGUGGGGAGCAAACAGG